GGACCACAUGUUGGGUGGGACAAAGGGCUCCAAGGCUCCCCCUUCCCCUGCUCCAAGCCUGAGGGAGUUAUCACUUGAAGGCAUUUGUAUCUGCCUUCUGUUUUUUGGUUCAGAUUACAAACGAAGACGAUGAUUCUACAUGUGAGCUCAUCAGCUUAUUGCAAGAUAUCCACAUCAUCGUCUCUGACAUCACCAUCGUCCUCGUGGUCACCAUCAACAUCAUGGAAAACCAGCGUAGGGUACUUCAAAACCACAUGCUUUGGAACUACACAGAUCUGAUUUCGAAUUCUUCCCUCUCCAGUGUGUUACCGUGGGUGCUUCACUAGCAUGUUUGUAUGUCAGUUUCUGCACUGAUUUAAGUGAAAGUGAUUAUGAUACCCACAUAGGCGUCUUCAGGAGAAGCUAGGGUAAAGUAUUGUUGGGGUGCAGCCUGUAAGCCCUAGUAGUUGCCCAGCCUUAAGGCAAAGAAAGGGUCUAGAGACAGAGACAUCCAUGGCUUAUUGGAUGAGACCUUACAUAUAUGAAGCAGGUUCCUGGAGCAACACCCUAUC
ensembl:lncRNA